GGGCCCGCACAAGCGGUGGAGCAUGUGGUUUAAUUCGACGCAACGCGCAGAACCUUACCAACCCUUGACAUGCCCGUCGCGGGAUCGAGAGAUCGAUCCCUUCAGUUCGGCUGGACGGUGCACAGGUGCUGCAUGGCUGUCGUCAGCUCGUGUCGUGAGAUGUUGGGUUAAGUCCCGCAACGAGCGCAACCCUCGCCUUCAGUUGCCAUCAUUUAGUUGGGCACUCUGAAGGGACUGCCGGUGACAAGCCGGAGGAAGGUGGGGAUGACGUCAAGUCCUCAUGGCCCUUACGGGUUGGGCUACACACGUGCUACAAUGGCGGUGACAAUGGGAUGCGAAAGCGCGAGCUGGAGCAAAUCCCAAAAAGCCGUCUCAGUUCGGAUUGCACUCUGCAACUCGAGUGCAUGAAGUCGGAAUCGCUAGUAAUCGCGCAACAGCAUGGCGCGGUGAAUACGUUCCCGGGCCUU
rnacentral:rRNA from 1 species